AUUGAACGCUGGCGGCAUGCCUUACACAUGCAAGUCGAACGGCAGCACGGGAGCAAUCCUGGUGGCGAGUGGCGAACGGGUGAGUAAUGUAUCGGAACGUACCUUUCAGUGGGGGAUAACGUAGCGAAAGUUACGCUAAUACCGCAUAUUCUGUGAGCAGGAAAGCAGGGGAUCGCAAGACCUUGCGCUGAUUGAGCGGCCGAUAUCAGAUGUAGCUAGUUGGUGAGGUAAAGGCUCACCAAGGCGACGAUCUGUAGCGGGGCAGAGAGGAUGAACCGCCACACUGGAAAGGAUACACGGUCCAGACACCUACGGGAGGCAGCAGUGGGGAAUUUUGGACAAUGGGCGCAAGCCUGAUCCAGCCAUGCCGCGUGAGUGAAGAAGGCCUUCGGGUUGUAAAGCUCUUUCGGCCGGGAAGAAAUCGUGUGGGUUAAUACCCUGCAUGGAUGACGGUACCGGAAUAAGAAGCACCGGCUAACUACGUGCCAGCCGCCGCAGUAAAAC
rnacentral:rRNA from 1 species